rnacentral:lncRNA from 1 species
AUACCUAUUGCACUAGUGUUGCUAGAAGCGUUAUCAAUGGAAAUUGACAUUAUUUAUCACAAAAACAAAAAUAUCUGCAUACAUCUGAAACAGUGUUAGUAAUAAACCUACCCGUGUGCCGUGAAUUAAUUUCCUAUAUGCAAUAAUGCAUUUUUGCAUUGUCCAGUCUUCGUCUAUCCAAUGACUGGUUACAGUUAGAUAAUCACAAUCAUUAUUACUUCUACCAAUAUN